UCUUCUUCCUCUCUUAACUUUAACUUAUUGACUCAGUUUUGUUCCUUGUAAAUUUAAGUUUGCGAUUACAAUUUACUCGUCACAAUAUAAGUAAUCAGUGUUGUCGCUGCUUCUACUAUAUUGUGUACAACGAUUUCCCACAAAAAUAUGGCCACCAAAAUCUCAACUGUUGCAGCAAUUAGUGAUUUUGGAUGCUGAAAUUUGAAAAAAGCUGAUGUUAAACAACAUGUAGAUUGACCAUUUUUUGUUGGAAAGGUGAAGGCAACUUUUGAUUAUAGUUUAAGGCUAAUAUAUAAUUUCUUUUGCUAAGGGUUCAUGAUCACAAUAUUGUUACUAGCUUAGUUCAGUGUUGUAUGUAGUCAGAUGCCUUAUACUCACAUUAUUUUGUAAUUUCACUAUAUAUUAUAUAUCAAAGUGACAAGUUUAUAUUAA